GUGAGGAAUAUUGGACAAUGGGCGCAAGCCUGAUCCAGCCAUGCCGCGUGCAGGAAGACGCAUCUAUGGUGUGUAAACUGCUUUUGUACGGGAAGAAACACUCCCUCGUGAGGGAGCUUGACGGUACCGUAAGAAUAAGGAUCGGCUAACUCCGUGCCAGCAGCCGCGGUAAUACGGAGGAUCCAAGCGUUAUCCGGAAUCAUUGGGUUUAAAGGGUCCGUAGGCGGUUUAAUAAGUCAGUGGUGAAAGCCCAUCGCUCAACGAUGGAACGGCCAUUGAUACUGUUAGACUUGAAUUACAAGGAAGUAACUAGAAUAUGUAGUGUAGCGGUGAAAUGCUUAGAUAUUACAUGGAAUACCAAUUGCGAAGGCAGGUUACUAAGCUACAACUGACACUGAAGCACGAAAGCGUGGGGAUCAAACAGGAUUAGAAACCCUAGUAGUCC
rnacentral:rRNA from 1 species